UCCUGGCUCAGAUGAACGCUGGCGGCAGGCCUAACACAUGCAAGUCGAACGGUAACAGGAAGAAGCUUGCUCUUGCUGACGAGUGGCGGACGGGUGAGUAAUGUCUGGGAAACUGCCUGAUGGAGGGGGAUAACUACUGGAAACGGUAGCUAAUACCGCAUAACGUCGCAAGACCAAAGAGGGGGACCUUCGGGCCUCUUGCCAUCGGAUGUGCCCAGAUGGGAUUAGCUUGUUGGUGGGGUAACGGCUCACCAAGGCGACGAUCCCUAGCUGGUCUGAGAGGAUGACCAGCCACACUGGAACUGAGACACGGUCCAGACUCCUACGGGAGGCAGCAGUGGGGAAUAUUGCACAAUGGGCGCAAGCCUGAUGCAGCCAUGCCCGCGUGUAUGAAGAAGGCCUUCGGGUUGUAAAGUACUUUCAGCGGGGAGGAAGGGAGUAAAGUUAAUACCUUUGCUCAUUGACGUUACCCGCAGAAGAAGCACCGGCUAACUCCGUGCCAGCCGCGGC
rnacentral:rRNA from 1 species